rnacentral:tRNA from 1 species
UCCCUGGAGGACUAGUGGUUAGGCCUCGGCGCUCUCACUGCAGCAGCCCGGGUUCAGUUCUCGGCCAGGGAC